ensembl:snoRNA small nucleolar RNA, C/D box 54
UGGCGAUGAGGAGACGAUUACUCUCUUGAAUUACGGUGAUGGUCGUAUACGCUAUUCUGAGCCAGCA